UUCCACUCAUCAGAGGCCUUAAG
rnacentral:misc_RNA from 1 species